GACGAAGGGGGCUAGCGUUGUUCGGAAUUACUGGGCGUAAAGCGCGUGUAGGCGGUUGUUCAAGUCAGGUGUGAAAGCCUUGAGCUCAACUCAAGAAAUGCACUUGAUACUGGAUGACUAGAGGACCGGAGAGGAUAGUGGAAUUCCCAGUGUAGUGGUGAAAUACGUAGAGAUUGGGAAGAACACCAGUGGCGAAGGCGGCUAUCUGGACGGUUUCGGACGCUAAGACGCGAAAGCGUGGGGAGCAAACAGG
rnacentral:rRNA from 1 species